rnacentral:rRNA from 1 species
UACGUAGGGACCAAGCGUUGUUCGGAUUUACUGGGCGUAAAGGGCGCGUAGGCGGCGAUUCAAGUGACGGGUGAAAUCCCUCGGCUUAACCGAGGAACUGCCUGUCAGACUGGAUUGCUUGAGGCCGGGAGAGGCGAGUGGAAUUCCCAGUGUAGCGGUGAAAUGCGUAGAUAUUGGGAGGAACACCAGUGGCGAAGGCGGCUCGCUGGACCGGUUCUGACGCUGAGGCGCGAAAGCGUGGGGAGCAAACAGG